rnacentral:rRNA from 1 species
UACGUAGGGCGCAAGCGUUGUCCGGAAUUACUGGGCGUAAAGGGUGCGUAGGCGGUUGUUUAAGUCUGUCGUGAAAUCCCCGGGCUCAACCUGGGAAUGGCGAUGGAUACUGGGCAGCUAGAGUGUGUCAGAGGAUGGUGGAAUUCCCGGUGUAGCGGUGAAAUGCGUAGAGAUCGGGAGGAACAUCAGUGGCGAAGGCGGCCUUCUGGACCAAUACUGACGCUCAUGCACGAAAGCGUGGGGAGCAAACAGG